rnacentral:rRNA from 1 species
AUUGAACGCUGGCGGCAUGCCUUACACAUGCAAGUCGAACGGCAGCGGGGGAGAAGCUUGCUUUUCCUGCCGGCGAGUGGCGAACGGGCGAGUAAUACAUCGGAACGUGCCCUGUAGUGGGGGAUAACUAGUCGAAAGAUUAGCUAAUACCGCAUACGACCUGAGGGUGAAAGGGGGGGACCGCAAGGCCUCAUGCUAUAGGAGCGGCCGAUGUCUGAUUAGCUAGUUGGUGGGGUAAAGGCCUACCAAGGCGACGAUCAGUAGCUGGUCUGAUAGGACGAUCAGCCACACUGGGACUGAGACACGGCCCAGACGCCUACGGGAGGAAGCAGUGGGGAAGUUUGGACAAGGGGCGAAAGCUUGAUCAAGCAAUGCGGCGUGUGUGAAGAAGGCCUUCGGGUUGUAAAGCACUUUUGUCCGGAAAGAAAUGGCUCUGGUUAAUACCUGGGGUCGAUGACGGUACCGGAAGAAUAAGGACCGGCUAACUACGUGCCAGCCGCCGCAGUAA